UAGGCUUUGGAAACUGUUUAACUUGAGUGCAGAAGGGGAGAGUGGAAUUCCAUGUGUAGCGGUGAAAUGCGUAGAUAUAUGGAGGAACACCGGUGGCGAAAGCGGCUCUCUGNUCUGUAACUGACGCUGAGGCUNGAAAGCGUGGGGAGCGAACAGGAUUAGAUACCCUGGUAGUNCACGCCGUAAACGAUGAGUGCUAGGUGUUAGGUCCUUUCCGGGACUUAGUGCCGCAGCUAACGCAUUAAGCACUCCGCCUGGGGAGUACGACCGCAAGGUUGAAACUCAAAGGAAUUGACGGGGGCCCGCACAAGCGGUGGAGCAUGUGGUUUAAUUCGAAGCAACGCGAAGAACCUUACCAGGUCUUGACAUCCCAAUGCCCGCUCUAGAGAUAGAGCUUUACUUCGGUACAUCGGUGACAGGUGGUGCAUGGUUGUCGUCAGCUCGUGUCGUGAGAUGUUGGGUUAAGUCCCGCAACGAGCGCAACCCUUAUUGUUAGUUGCCAUCAUUCAGUUGGGCACUCUAGCGAGACUGCCGGUAAUAAACCGGAGGAAGGUGGGGAUGACGUCAAAUCAUCAUGCCCCUUAUGACCUGGGCUACACACGUGCUACAAUGGCUGGUACAACGAGUCGCAAGCCGGUGACGGCAAGCUAAUCUCUGAAAGCCAGUCUCAGUUCGGAUUGUAGGCUGCAACUCGCCUACAUGAAGUCGGAAUCGCUAGUAAUCGCGGAUCAGCACGCCGCGGUGAAUACGUUCCCGGGCCUUGUACACACCGCCCGUCACACCACGAGAGUUUGUAACACCCGAAGUNGGUGAGGUAACCGUAAGGAGCCAGCCG
rnacentral:rRNA from 1 species